rnacentral:rRNA from 1 species
GCUACUUCCAGAGAUGGAAGGCUCCUUCGGGGACGCGGUGACAGGUGCUGCAUGGCUGUCGUCAGCUCGUGUCGUGAGAUGUUGGGUUAAGUCCCGCAACGAGCGCAACCCUCGUCCUUAGUUGCCAUCAUUUAGUUGGGCACUCUAAGGAAACCGCCGGUGAUAAGCUGGAGGAAGGUGGGGAUGACGUCAAGUCCUCAUGGCCCUUACAGGCUGGGCUACACACGUGCUACAAUGGCGGUGACAGUGGGCAGCCACUCCGCGAGGAGGAGCUAAUCCCAAAAAGCCGUCUCAGUUCGGAUUGUUCUCUGCAACUCGAGAGCAUGAAGGCGGAAUCGCUAGUAAUCGCGGAUCAGCAUGCCGCGGUGAAUACGUUCCCAGGCCUU